GUGCCAGCAGCCGCGGUAAUACGUAGGGGGCAAGCGUUAUCCGGAAUCAUUGGGCGUAAAGGAUGCGUAGGCUGCCCUAUAGGUCAGAGGUCAAAGGCUACGGCUCAACCGUAGUAAGCCUUUGAAACUGUAGGGCUUGAGUGCAGGAGAGGAGAGUGGAAUUCCUAGUGUAGCGGUGAAAUGCGUAGAUAUUAGGAGGAACACCAGUGGCGAAGGCGACUCUCUGGACUGCAACUGACGCUGAGGCACGAAAGCGUGGGUAGCGAACAGGAUUAGAUACCCUGGUAGUCCACGCCGUAAACGAUGAGUGCCAGGUGUUGGGGUGCGACCUACGUGCGCAGAUAUACGCAUUAAGCACUCCGCCUGGGGAGUACGUACGNAAGUAUGAAACUCAAAGGAAUUGACGGGGACCGCACAAGCAGCGGAGCAUGUGGUUUAAUUCGAAGCAACGCUGAAGAA
rnacentral:rRNA from 1 species